rnacentral:misc_RNA from 1 species
AACCAUUCUCACCUGCGGCUAGACCUGCGGAGGGAUCAUUACCGAGUUUACAACUCCCAAACCCCUGUGAACAUACCAAUUGUUGCCUCGGCGGAUCAGCCCGCUCCCGGUAAAACGGGACGGCCCGCCAGAGGACCCCUAAACUCUGUUUCUAUAUGUAACUUCUGAGUAAAACCAUAAAUAAAUCAAAACUUUCAACAAUGGAUCU